GAGAAUGGAUAUCCUAUCACUGGGUUGGGGAUGAUUUGAGGAGUAGGAGUGAUUUGAAAUUACUACCAUAUAGGAUUAUCAUGGUGCAACAAAAUAUAGUGAUUUCAUCACCUCCAUUCACAUCUUCCUUGAUUUGAGUAGAUCACCCCAUACCAAACGCCACUUAGAAGUGUAUGUUGGUAUUGCACUCUAAUUAAUGUACCAUCUACUUC
rnacentral:lncRNA from 1 species